rnacentral:rRNA from 1 species
CCUACGGGUGGCAGCAGUGGGGAAUAUUGGACAAUGGGCGAAAGCCUGAUCCAGCCAUGCCGCGUGUGUGAAGAAGGCCUUCGGGUUGUAAAGCACUUUCAGUGGGGAAGAAAGCCUUGGGGCUAAUACCCUCGAGGAAGGACAUCACCCACAGAAGAAGCACCGGCUAACUCCGUGCCAGCAGCCGCGGUAAUACGAAGGGUGCGAGCGUUAAUCGGAAUUACUGGGCGUAAAGCGCGCGUAGGCGGUCUGAUAAGCCGGUUGUGAAAGCCCCGGGCUCAACCUGGGAACGGCAUCCGGAACUGUCAGGCUAGAGUGCAGGAGAGGAAGGUAGAAUUCCCGGUGUAGCGGUGAAAUGCGUAGAGAUCGGGAGGAAUACCAGUGGCGAAGGCGGCCUUCUGGACUGACACUGACGCUGAGGUGCGAAAGCGUGGGUAGCAAACAGGAUUAGAUACCCGAGUAGUC